UGCAGUCGAGCGGACAGAAGGGAGCUUGCUCCCGGAUGUUAGCGGCGGACGGGUGAGUAACACGUGGGUAACCUGCCUGUAAGACUGGGAUAACUCCGGGAAACCGGAGCUAAUACCGGAUAGUUCCUUGAACCGCAUGGUUCAAGGAUGAAAGACGGUUUCGGCUGUCACUUACAGAUGGACCCGCGGCGCAUUAGCUAGUUGGUGGGGUAAUGGCUCACCAAGGCGACGAUGCGUAGCCGACCUGAGAGGGUGAUCGGCCACACUGGGACUGAGACACGGCCCAGACUCCUACGGGAGGCAGCAGUAGGGAAUCUUCCGCAAUGGACGAAAGUCUGACGGAGCAACGCCGCGUGAGUGAUGAAGGUUUUCGGAUCGUAAAGCUCUGUUGUUAGGGAAGAACAAGUGCGAGAGUAACUGCUCGCACCUUGACGGUACCUAACCAGAAAGCCACGGCUAACUACGUGCCAGCAGCCGCGGUAAUACGUAGGUGGCAAGCGUUGUCCGGAAUUAUUGGGCGUAAAGGGCUCGCAGGCGGUUUCUUAAGUCUGAUGUGAAAGCCCCCGGCUCAACCGGGGAGGGUCAUUGGAAACUGGGAAACUUGAGUGCAGAAGAGGAGAGUGGAAUUCCACGUGUAGCGGUGAAAUGCGUAGAGAUGUGGAGGAACACCAGUGGCGAAGGCGACUCUCUGGUCUGUAACUGACGCUGAGGAGCGAAAGCGUGGGGAGCGAACAGGAUUAGAUACCCUGGUAGUCCACGCCGUAAACGAUGAGUGCUAAGUGUUAGGGGGUUUCCGCCCCUUAGUGCUGCAGCUAACGCAUUAAGCACUCCGCCUGGGGAGUACGGUCGCAAGACUGAAACUCAAAGGAAUUGACGGGGGCCCGCACAAGCGGUGGAGCAUGUGGUUUAAUUCGAAGCAACGCGAAGAACCUUACCAGGUCUUGACAUCCUCUGACAACCCUAGAGAUAGGGCUUUCCCUUCGGGGACAGAGUGACAGGUGGUGCAUGGUUGUCGUCAGCUCGUGUCGUGAGAUGUUGGGUUAAGUCCCGCAACGAGCGCAACCCUUUGAUCUUAGUUGCCAGCAUUUAGUUGGGCACUCUAAAGGUGACUGCCCGGUGACAAACCCGGAGGAAA
rnacentral:rRNA from 1 species